rnacentral:rRNA from 1 species
GACGAACGCUGGCGGCGUGCUUAACACAUGCAAGUCGAACGGAAAGGCCCUGCUUUUGUGGGGUGCUCGAGUGGCGAACGGGUGAGUAACACGUGAGUAACCUGCCCUUGACUUUGGGAUAACUUCAGGAAACUGGGGCUAAUACCGGAUAGGAGCUCCUGCUGCAUGGUGGGGGUUGGAAAGUUUCGGCGGUUGGGGAUGGACUCGCGGCUUAUCAGCUUGUUGGUGGGGUAGUGGCUUACCAAGGCUUUGACGGGUAGCCGGCCUGAGAGGGUGACCGGCCACAUUGGGACUGAGAUACGGCCCAGACUCCUACGGGAGGCAGCAGUGGGGAAUAUUGCACAAUGGGCGGAAGCCUGAUGCAGCAACGCCGCGUGCGGGAUGACGGCCUUCGGGUUGUAAACCGCUUUCGCCUGUGACGAAGCGUGAGUGACGGUAAUGGGUAAAGAAGCACCGGCUAACUACGUGCCAGCAGCCGCGGUGAUACGUAGGGUGCGAGCGUUGUCCGGAUUUAUUGGGCGUAAAGGGCUCGUAGGUGGUUGAUCGCGUCGGAAGUGUAAUCUUGGGGCUUAACCCUGAGCGUGCUUUCGAUACGGGUUGACUUGAGGAAGGUAGGGGAGAAUGGAAUUCCUGGUGGAGCGGUGGAAUGCGCAGAUAUCAGGAGGAACACCAGUGGCGAAGGCGGUUCUCUGGGCCUUUCCUGACGCUGAGGAGCGAAAGCGUGGGGAGCGAACAGGCUUAGAUACCCUGGUAGUCCACGCUGUAAACGGUGGGUACUAGGUGUGGGGUCCAUUCCACGGGUUCCGUGCCGUAGCUAACGCUUUAAGUACCCCGCCUGGGGAGUACGGCCGCAAGGCUAAAACUCAAAGGAAUUGACGGGGCCCCGCACAAGCGGCGGAGCAUGCGGAUUAAUUCGAUGCAACGCGUAGAACCUUACCUGGGUUUGACAUGGAUCGGAAGUGCUCAGAGAUGGGUGUGCCUCUUUUGGGGUCGGUUCACAGGUGGUGCAUGGCUGUCGUCAGCUCGUGUCGUGAGAUGUUGGGUUAAGUCCCGCAACGAGCGCAACCCUUGUUCACUGUUGCCAGCACGUUAUGGUGGGGACUCAGUGGAGACCGCCGGGGUCAACUCGGAGGAAGGUGGGGAUGACGUCAAGUCAUCAUGCCCCUUAUGUCCAGGGCUUCACGCAUGCUACAAUGGCUGGUACAGAGAGUGGCGAGCCUGUGAGGGUGAGCGAAUCUCGGAAAGCCGGUCUCAGUUCGGAUUGGGGUCUGCAACUCGACCUCAUGAAGUCGGAGUCGCUAGUAAUCGCAGAUCAGCAACGCUGCGGUGAAAAAGUUCCCGGG